rnacentral:rRNA from 1 species
UACGGGGGGGGCAAGCGUUGUUCGGAAUUACUGGGCGUAAAGGGCUCGUAGGCGGCCAACUAAGUCAGACGUGAAAUCCCUCGGCUUAACCGGGGAACUGCAUCUGAUACUGGAUGGCUUGAGUUCGGGAGAGGGAUGCGGAAUUCCAGGUGUAGAGGUGAAAUUCGUAGAUAUUGGGAAGAACACCGGUGGCGAAGGCGGCUAUCUGGCCCGUAAUUGACGCUGAGGCGCGAAAGCGUGGGGAGCAAACAGG